rnacentral:rRNA from 1 species
AUGGAGGGCAACUCCUGACCCAGCCAUGCCGCGUGCAGUGAAGACUGCCCUAUGGGUUGUAAACUGCUUUUAUACAGGAAGAAACACACCUACGUGUAGGUGCUUGACGGUACUGUAAGAAUAAGCACCGGCUAACUCCGUGCCAGCAGCCGCGGUAAUACGGAGGGUGCAAGCGUUAUCCGGAAUCAUUGGGUUUAAAGGGUCCGCAGGCGGUCAAUUAAGUCAGAGGUGAAAUCCCAUAGCUCAACUAUGGAACUGCCUUUGAUACUGGUUGACUUGAGUUAUACGGAAGUANNAUAGAAUAAGUAGUGUACCGGUGAAAUGCAUANGAUAUGACUUAAAAUUUNUCUUNAUUGCGAAGGGCAGNUCUACUANCGUANUAUANCUGANCGCUCCAUGGNACAAAAAGCGUGGGGNAGCGAACAGGGAUNAAAUNACCCCUGGGUAAUUCCCCCCCNNUAAAACAAUGGAACACUNAUUUGGUUGGGAAAU